UCUAGGCCCCACUCAGUGGCCUCAGGAUUCAGAUCCCUCUCUGCUAGUCAUAGGAGAUCUUUCAUGUGGGCAGCUGGACCCAGACAGUCUCCAUGGUUACACGGCAACAACUCCUUCAGGACAGGGCCAAACUCCAGGAGGAUGACUUCCCCCAUGCUCACCCCUCACCUGUGGCCAUAAGGGAGGUGGAAGUGCGUCCUCUGCCUGCCGCCUUGGCAAAAUAAGGAGCCCCUUGGAACAAUGGCAGAGACACCGUUGAAACCAAGAACAAAGGAGUUAAAAUCUUCCCCAGCGUCAAAACUUUUAGGUUCCUAAGAGCAAGGCUGGAGAGGAUAUCGAGGUGGCCACUGAUGUAGGUUUCCAUCACAUCGACACAACCUACCUCUAUCAAAAUGAGAAGAUUGGCAAGGGCCUCUAAGAGAAGAUGAUGGAUGGUACUGUGAAGAGAGAGGAUAUAUUCUACACCACCCAGGUUUGGACUACUUUCCUUCCAACAGAACUGGAUCAAACAGCCCUGGAAAGAUCACAGAAGAAACUUGAACUGGACUACAUAGAUCUUUUUACCAUUCAUGUGCCAAUUGCUAUGAAGCUUUCAGAAGGAUUGAUUUCAGGGAUCUCACGGCCUCCACUUCAGAGAGUUAAGGACACUCCCUUACAUUCCUAAGUGACCUGGAGGGAACUCUGAAAGGACAAGUGAACCCCUUGGAGACCACAAGUUGCUUUUCAGAAGAUAGUAUCCUACAGAUAAGUAACAUAUGACUCCUUGGUUCUUACCUUACUUGUUGGACUAUUAGACAGCAGGCUACUUGGCUACAUCAGAUUUCGCCUGAGGUUCUAGGCAAGAAUCUUGAUUGGUUACAGGCCUCUUCUCUUGGAUUCCCCAAAGAUUAAGGUCUAUUAUGGAAGGGAUACUAAAAUUUAGGCUGUAUAUCUUGCUAAUCUGUGUGGUCAACCAUGUAAUUAUAAAAUGUGAAUUUAAGUGUUGUUCCAAAGCCUUUAUCAGAGUACUAAAGUAACAAUCAUGCAAAGUAUAUCUCACUCUCCCAACUUGUGCUCAAAAAUAUUUUAAAAUAAAGGUGAAACAAGUCCAUUCCUCUGACCCUGAUCCUCACCCUUUUAGAGCAGGAAGUAGCUAGAGUGGUCAUCACCCAGAUUUCCCAAGAUUGAGAAAUGAGCAUAAGACAGUGGGGAUUUAAACUGAGAACGAAGGCAUUAAAAUCUUCCCUAGAGGGAAAUCUUUGAGAUAAACUUUGUUAACAGCAGCUGGGAAUACACAAUAUAAUCAACUGUUGUUUAGAACUAACUAGGUCUUUCUGUCUCUCCUUAGUAUAUGAGUCAGAUGUUUUUCUCAGGAAGCCAAGGUCCUGACGUCAAGAUUCAGCCUCACAAGGUAAAAUGCACGCUAAAGAUGAAAAACAACCAGAAGAGUCCAGAUUGUCACAGGAAAAGAAAUUCAAUUUUCACAGACUUCUGGGAAGGCAUCAACCAGCAAGGACACAUGCUUCUCCACCCCUACUCAAAACUCCAGCACAUACUCCCCCUCCCCAACAUAAAACCUCAGAUAAAAAUGCCUGCUUUUUUCCCUUCAAUGAGGUGGUUUUGAGUUUUAACUCCCAUGACUUCUUCUAGUUUCCUUUCGAUAAUACACCUGUUUCAAUGACACAAUCCUGGCAUUACAGUACUUGGACCUCCUGUGACUCA